rnacentral:lncRNA from 1 species
UAUAAAUUGGUUAUGGAAAAGUGAGGAAAAAUAAUUUGCAUCUACUAUGCACUAUAUUUUUUUCUUCUUGUGAAGCAAGUGCCUGUCAUGCUCUGGAAAAUAUAAAUAUGAAAUCUGAACAGUUGAUGAUUAUAAAAAUAAUUACAGGUUGCCAUUAUGAAGCACACAGUCACACCUAAUCCUUUAAAUAAAUGUGCUUAACUACACUAAAAUACAUGUUUUAAAAUGUUAAACAGAGACAUUCUAAAAAGACACGUGAAAACCAUUUAAUUUUUUUAAAGAAAAAGAUGCUGAGUGGGUCCAUAGUGGGAAUUAUUUUAAAACAAGAAAAAAGAAAUCUUUAGCCCUGGAAACCCUUCUUGGACUGCAUUAGAAAUAAAUUUCCUGAUGUAGCCUGUAAGUCAGUCAAAACAGGGAAGACUGAAUGCUGGGAGCAAUAGGUGUGUUUGUUAACUCUGAAAUACUGAAAGUCAGAAACAUGUGAAAAGGAUGGUCAUGUUAAGUAGGAUCUUUAAAGUCGGUAUAUAAACCAUUUCUUUGCCUUCUAUUCAAGCAAUAUACUUUCAUCCUUCUGUUGUGUUUCCUCAAUUCCUACACUUUGUUUUCGUACUCCCCCCACCAGGAAUGAGGCACCAACACCAGUGGGAGAGUUUUAGAUUCCUUAGAAAUUCUGCUUAUAUAAGUGAGUACAUCAAAUGAUCUUUGCCACAAAAAUGAUGAAUGUUUCUUUUGAAAUGCAGACCAUGGUUCCAAGAAGUUUAUGCUCACAGAAUCAGGAGCCUUGCAUUGAAAAGGUGUAAGUCUUGCUAAUAGCCUAAAAGUCUAUUUUUUUCACCCAACUGCAGCAUUAAAUAUUGGAGCUGUGGAAAAUUAUUGCAACCAAACUAUUGAAACCAUUCUUAAAGUUAAAAGAAUUGUUAUUUUAGGACAAAUUUUGAAGAUAAUACUUUUUUGGGGGUGGGGAACUUCUGCUGUUAUUGUUGCUGUGCUGGAGGAAUGGUGCUUAUUCUUUUGGUAGCAUAACUAGUGGUCUGACAUGAAAAACUCUUAAAACUUACCCUAUAUUGGGUCUUUAACUGCUAUUUUAUGUUAAAACCUUACAUAUUAGUAUGUAUAUAUAUAUGUGAAUGCAUACAUAUACAAACUACAUUUUCUUAUUUUUAAAAUAUCUUAAGGUACAUGAAGGAGUUAACAUGUUCAUGAAACAUUGUGACAUGGAAAGGUUAGCAGAGCCUCAAGCAGUGCCUGAGUAGGAAAGUGAUAAACUGACACCACACUGUAGAGGAGGAAGAAAAACAUCUCACCAACGGCAGACAGCAGAAACUAAUGGUUUUCAACUGUUGCUGAUCUAAUCAAUCAUGGUGCUAUGAUAUAAUCAGUUCUGUGUGAUUCGUUUGUUGUUCUACUGGAAUGCAUUGUAUUCCCUUCUUAUUUUUAAGCCCCCCUACUUCUAGUUUUCGCCUUUCUUAAAAGGCAAUUUCUAAGAUUGUGUUUCUUUUAAAGCCAAUAAGUAAUUGUGAAAGACAAACUCAGAGCCUGUUGAAUUUCAACAAAAGUUAAGUAUUUUGUAGGACAUACAACAAUAGUGUUCUUUAAUUAAAAUACUGAGCCAUAUGAAAAUUUGUCCAACAUUUGGUAAAUGCCCUUAGUUGAAUCGUUAAUAUCCUAGAUAGUAAAAGAUUAGUACCUUUUAUCUCUAGUCUACUGGGUACAGAUUUUGCUUUCAGAUACUAUCAUCACAUCAUCACACACAGGUUGAAGAUGACAUUUUCUCACCUGUUAAGGCAUGACUUUCAGUAAAAUGUAUUUAGCUGUCAGAGGUCUGCAAGCAGUCCAUCAGUUGAGACAUGAUGCUGUUUUGACCGAUAUUGGUGACAUUUUAAAAGCUACACAAAAAUUCAUAAUUAUAAAAGUGUUCACUGUUUCACUAAAGACUGUGUAAUGCAUUGCAUAUUAAUUAAUAAGAUGUUCUCUUUUAAAUGCUAUCCCUAAAAUGUACUUAAUGUUACUUUCCAUUACCAUGCAUAAAGUUUUAACCAUUUAUUCAUGCCAUUAGAAAAAUGUAGACUUUUCCUUUCUUUUCGGUAUGUUCCUUUUACUUUUCUACUCAUUAUAGAGUCAUGAACAACUAUG